CCCCAACUACCCCCCAACGCUUAUAGAUUUCCCUUCAAAAUAUUUACUUAAUAAAAGAGUUAUAUACUAUGCAACCGUUAUAGUAGAAAGAUCUUUUCGCACUUUCAGUCUUCACCUUAGGAAGGUGGAGCUGAUUACUUUGUCUGGUCGAUCUUUCAUGAAUAUCUCGAUUAAAAGUAAAAUAAUUAGUUAAAAACUGAGGUACUGUCCCGGUCAAAGAUUUUUUGUCCCCUUCUCUUAUACAAGGGAGUCCAUCUUAAACUAGUCAUCACAUCAUUACUGG